GAUGAAGAACGUAGUGAAAUGCGAUAAGUAAUGUGAAUUGCAGAAUUCAGUGAAUCAUCGAAUCUUUGAACGCACAUUGCGCCCCCUGGAAUUCCGGGGGGCAUGCCUGUUCGAGCGUCUCAGGGACGAACCCUCGCGCGGGUGUACGCGCGGUCGUGGCUGCGGUGGCGUGCCCGAGGCGGCGGCCACCGCGCUGGAAUCCAUGGGCGGACGCCUGCCGCGUGGCCGAGCGUGAUAUGACGCAUUGGCGCUCGCACGCGGCGAGGCUGCCAGCCCUGGCCCGUCUGUUGGGCGGGGGAGAGCAAGACACGUGAACUCCUCGAAUCAGGUAGGGAUACCCGCUGAACUUAAGCAUAUCAAUAAGCGGAGGA
rnacentral:misc_RNA from 1 species